rnacentral:rRNA from 1 species
GAUGAACGCUGGCGGCGUGCCUAAUACAUGCAAGUCGAGCGAACGGACGAGAAGCUUGCUUUUCUGAUGUUAGCGGCGGACGGGUGAGUAACACGUGGAUAACCUUCCUAUAAGACUGGGAUAACUUCGGGAAGCCGGAGCUAAUACCGGAUAAUAUUUUGAACCGCAUGGUUCAAAAGUGAAAGACGGUCUUGCUGUCACUUAUAGAUGGAUCCGCGCUGCAUUAGCUAGUUGGUAAGGUAACGGCUUACCAAGGCAACGAUGCAUAGCCGACCUGAGAGGGUGAUCGGCCACACUGGAACUGAGACACGGUCCAGACUCCUACGGGAGGCAGCAGUAGGGAAUCUUCCGCAAUGGGCGAAAGCCUGACGGAGCAACGCCGCGUGAGUGAUGAAGGUCUUCGGAUCGUAAAACUCUGUUAUUAGGGAAGAACAUAUGUGUAAGUAACUGUGCACAUCUUGACGGUACCUAAUCAGAAAGCCACGGCUAACUACGUG